AUUGAACGCUGGCGGCAGGCUUAACACAUGCAAGUCGAGCGGGGGAGGUUGCUUCGGUAACUGACCUAGCGGCGGACGGGUGAGUAAUGCUUAGGAAUCUGCCUAUUAGUGGGGGACAACAUUCCGAAAGGGAUGCUAAUACCGCAUACGCCCUACGGGGGAAAGCAGGGGAUCUUCGGACCUUGCGCUAAUAGAUGAGCCUAAGUCGGAUUAGCUAGUUGGUGGGGUAAAGGCCUACCAAGGCGACGAUCUGUAGCGGGUCUGAGAGGAUGAUCCGCCACACUGGGACUGAGGUACGGCCCGGACUCCUACGGGAGGCAGCAGUGGGGAAUAUUGGACAAUGGGCGGAAGCCUGAUCCAGCCAUGCCGCGUGUGUGAAGAAGGCCUUUUGGUUGUAAAGCACUUUAAGCGAGGAGGAGGCUACUUUAGUUAACACCUAGAGAUAGUGGACGUUACUCGCAGAAUAAGCACCGGCUAACUCUGUGCCAGCCGCCGCAGUAAAAC
rnacentral:rRNA from 1 species